GUAGUACGGCGAGUGAGAGGGAAGAGCCCAAGAUUGAAAGCUGGCGUCUUCGGCGUCCGCAUUGUAAUCUCAAGAAGUGUUUUCCGCUUCGGACCAAGCCUAAGUCCCCUGGAAAGGGGCAUCAUAGAGGGUGAUAGUCCCGUACAUGGCUUGGAGCGCCCGAGGCUUUGUGAUACGCUUUCUAAGAGUCGAGUUGUUUGGGAAUGCAGCUCAAAAUGGGUGGUAAAUGCCAUCUAAGGCUAAAUAUUGGGGAGAGACCGAUAGCGAACAAGUACAGUGAUGGAAAGAUGAAAAGAACUUUGAAAAGAGAGUUAAACAGUACGUGAGAUUGUUGAAAGGGAAACGAUUGAAGUCAGUCGUGACUGUUGGUUUCAGCUGGUUCUGCCAGUGUAUUACCAGCAGUCGGGUCAACAUCAGUUUUGAGCGGUGGAAAAAGGUAUGGAGAACGUAGCACCUUCGGGUGUGUUAUAGCUCCGUAUUGCAUACACUGCUUGAGACUGAGGAAUGCAGCUCGCCUUUAUGGCCGGGGUUCGCCCACGUUCGAGCUUAGGAUGUUGACAUAAUGGCUUUAAACGACCCGUCUUGA
rnacentral:rRNA from 1 species